rnacentral:snoRNA from 1 species
AACCCAUGGUGUAAUCAUUGCAUAGUAUAGCCCUUAAUCUUUCCCAGGCUUCACAGAAGCUCUCAUGAUUGAAACUGAAAAUUUCAUUCCUUAACCU